rnacentral:pre_miRNA from 1 species
UCAUUCAAUAUUGCCGGUUUGAACGAAAUUGAUCAGUUCACCGGGAGCAUUGUAUCGA